GGAGAGAUGGCUCAGUGGUUAAGAGCACUGGCUGCUCUUCCAGAGGACCUGGGUUCAGUUCCCAGUACCUACA
rnacentral:tRNA from 1 species